rnacentral:rRNA from 1 species
AGGGAAUCUUCCACAAUGGACGCAAGUCUGAUGGAGCAACGCCGCGUGAGUGAAGAAGGCUUUCGGGUCGUAAAACUCUGUUAUUGAAGAAGAACGUGUGUGACAGUAACUGGUCAUGCAGUGACGGUAUUCAAUCAGAAAGUCACGGCUAACUACGUGCCAGCAGCCGCGGUAAUACGUAGGUGGCAAGCGUUGUCCGGAUUUAUUGGGCGUAAAGCGAGUGCAGGCGGUCUUUUAAGUCUGAUGUGAAAGCCUUCGGCUUAACCGAAGAAGGGCAUCGGAAACUGGGAGACUUGAGUGCAGAAGAGGAGAGUGGAACUCCAUGUGUAGCGGUGAAAUGCGUAGAUAUAUGGAAGAACACCAGUGGCGAAGGCGGCUCUCUGGUCUGUAACUGACGCUGAGGCUCGAAAGCNGUGGUAGCAAAGCUAGGA